ACACAUACAGAUUUGAUAUCAAUUUGCGCAUGCGUACGAGUCCGACAUUUCGAAUUUUUGUUCGCCAAUUUGAUUGCAAAAACAACUUCCACGACGUUUGAUGUACAUAGCUAUAAACCGUGCAAAAUACAGGGCGGAUGGAUUCAUAAAUUAUCACGGAACAUCAGAUCAGGAUGAAAUAGAAAAAUGUACUUGUCUGCAUGAAACGGAACAUGACGACAGCUUUCCUGAAGUAUCUACCGGACAGAUAAGGUGAAUUAGUCAGAAGGAAAAAGCUGCGAAAUCAACCGAUGGAGCAAACGAAAUCAAUAGAAAUGGAGCA